CCUACGGGAGGCAGCAGUGGGGAAUAUUGGACAAUAGGCGAAAGCCUGAUCCAGCAAUGCCGCGUGAGUGAUGAAGGCCUUAGGGUUGUAAAGCUCUUUUACCCGGGAUGAUAAUGACAGUACCGGGAGAAUAAGCUCCGGCUAACUCCGUGCCAGCAGCCGCGGUAAU
rnacentral:rRNA from 1 species